AUGGCAGGCUCCAUCGGCCUCCUCUCCGGCGGAAGAUACUACUUGGAUUUCAUCCCCUACGUCAGCUCAUACGCGGAGAUCAUCUCUACAGUUGUAUUAUUAAUCGGAUGCCUUGGUCAGCACCUACAUGUAUGUUGCGUCGACCAGAGCGCCAAGGAGGUGGCCGUGAUCUACAUGGUGCCCGGCGACCGCGCUGGCCAGUUCCACGAAGGAGGUGGCCGUGAUCUACAUGACAAUUGCAUUAUUGGAUGCAUUAACCAGUACUACAGAAACCACAACCUCGUCAUCACCUUCCAGGUCGCUCUCCACCCGGACAUGGGAACAUCUGCGCGCUCGAGAUCGUCGGAGCCGAAUCAGGCUGGCGCACAUCCUCUGCUACACCCCCUACGCGGGAUGUGUCGACCUCAUCCCCCCGCCGCAGGAGGUCGAGGAGACCGGCAAGGAGGGAAACCUCAUCGUCGACCACAGCGCCAAGGAGGUGGCCGUGCUCUACAUGGUGCCCGGCGACCGCGCGGCCAGUUCCAUGCCGAGAAGAUGGGCUACCACGACGAGAUGGUCCUGCUCUGCUCCCAGGGCGCCGCUGAGGUGGUCGUGUGGGACCCAAUGACAGAGCUCGUGCUGGCUGGCGACUUACUCGGAUUUCAUCCCUACUUUUCUGGUUUGCGGGUUUAUUUGGAUCCUGGACCUCGGCAGGCUGAAUUGUUAGGCCCUGAUAGCAAGGAAAUAUACAUUAAAGUUCCUGAAAGGUUGAGCUUGUCAUUGGUUCAAUUCACAUUUAAAAAUAGUCCAUGUGUCGUCCUUGUGGUGUUUUUGUGCUUUGGUAAUUCAGUUGCAGAAUGUAACCCAUGGAAGUUUCUGCUGGACGUGGAGGCAGAGAUGUGGGCAUCAAGUUUCACAAAGAUGGAUGUUUACUUAGUGUUAGAUGCAGUUUCCCCUCAAACGACUGUUCAUUUAGUAUGGCUACGUCUUAUGGCAACUGAUCAUGGUAAUGAUUUGUUUAGUGUGGUGUGGCUAUGUCUUAUUGUUCACCAACAAUAUUGCUUACAAGGUCCACUAGAGACUGCCGUGUGGUGUGCGCUGGGGAGAACAUCACCAGCGAAUGCGCUCACUCCGAAGCCUUCCACCCUGCCUCUCCAGUGGCCGCUUCUUCUUCGACUCCGGCAUAGAUGCAUGUUAGUGGCAACUUGGUGCCAAACUUUGUUAUUUGUCGUGCAUGACCUGUUAGUUGUCAUCGCAGUCUCCAGCAACGGUGAGGAGGAGGAUGAGCUACUAGAGAGGAGGAGGAUGAGGAGCUGCUGGAGAGGAGGGCAGGAGGAGCUACUGGAGAGGAUCUGCUGCAGAGGAGGGAGCAGAUCUGCUGGAGGAGAGGAGCCAGAGAAGGAGGAGGAGGGCCACAUGGUUGGUAUUGAAGCUGAAGUGUUGCAUUUCAUACCUGGGGACUUGUGCUUCGUUUCUUUGCUGGAGGUGUCGCCGAACUGUGGCAUUGAACUCGUGAGUCCUUUGGUGCUGUCAUUAGAUCCGAUCCAAGAAUAUGUAGUGUAUAACUCGUGCGAAUUGAUAAAAAUGAAAACUUAUGUUGUCUCUAGCCUGUCGACGCUUUGGAAACAGAGGAUAUGGUACACCAUCAUCAUCAAUGAGAGAAGGGGUUCAUUGUGCCAGGCAAGGUGCAUGGUGGUAGGCUCAGUCUGCUGCUUAAGCGUCUUCCGUUGGUCCCGCUAUCGUGCGGCGGAGAUGGUGCUUUUUGGCAUCGGCUACAAAAUAGCCAUGAAACAGGAGGUACUGAUUCAUCGAGGCGCUGAGAUUUACAGGAGUCCAUGGCAUCCAGGCGUUGUGGUGCUUCCUCACCGCGCCGCUGAUCCUAACCAAGUACGAGCUGCUGCGGCCUGUCCGGAGCCGAGCCUCGUUGGCGAGGCGGCGCGCUCGUGCAGGGUGAGGGCGGCGCGUCCCAGAGGUUGCUUCACUCGGUGA
rnacentral:rRNA from 1 species